rnacentral:tRNA from 1 species
GGUCUCGUAGCUCAGUUGGUUAGAGCAUUGGUCUUAUGAGCCGAAGGUCGCGGGUUCAAGCCCCGUCGAGACCA